rnacentral:rRNA from 1 species
UGGGUCUCGCUCGUUACCUGACUUAACAGGAUGCUUCACAGUACGAACUGACGACGGCCAUGCACCACCUCUCAGCUAAUCCGGCAAAGUCUUCAGCCUGGCCUUCAUAUUGCUGUCGGUCCCGGUAAGAUUUCCGGCGUUGAAUCCAAUUAAACCGCAAGCUCCACCCGUUGUGGUGCUCCCCCGCCAAUUCCUUUAAGUUUCAGCCUUGCGGCCGUACUUCCCAGGUGGCUCGCUUCACGGCUUCCCUACGGCACCGACAACGGUCGCACCGUGGCCGACACCUAGCGAGUAUCGUUUACGGCUAGGACUACCCGGGUAUCUAAUCCGGUUCGUGCCCCUAGCUUUCGUCCCUUGCCGUCAGGUCCGUUCUGGUGAGACGCCUUCGCCACUGGUGGUCCUUCAAGGAUUACAAGAUUUCACCCCUACCCCUGAAGUACCUCUCACCUCUCCCGGCCUCGAGCCAGACAGUAUCUCCUGAAAGCCUGACAGUUAAGCUGCCAGAUUUCUCAAGAGACUUAUCCGGCCGGCUACAGACCCUUUAGACCCAAUAAUAACGGUUACCACUCGAGCCGCCGGUGUUACCGCGGCGGCUGGCACCGGUCUUGCCCGGCCCUUGCUAUGAAAUGCUUUUUAGGCAUCUCGACAGCCAGAUUUGUAACCUGGCACUCGAGGUUCCCUUAUCGCUGUUGCCAGCAUUGUAAAGUUUUCGCGCCUGCUGCACCCCGUAGGGCCUGGAUUCGUGUCUCAGAAUCCAUCUCCGGGCUCUUGCUCUCACAACCCGUACCCGUCGUAGGCUAGUAGGUACGCUACACCCACUACUACCUGAUAGGCCGCAGACCCAUCCUUAGGCGCCGGAGCUUUUAAUCUCGGUGCAUUCCAGCAGCCGAGACUUAUAGGGGAUUAUACCCAGUUUCCCGGGUUUAUACCCAACCUAAGGGCAGGUUGUCCACGUGUUACUGAGCAGUACGCCAUGUAUUGCUACAUUCGACUCGCAUGGCUUAGUCGAACCUCGAUAGCAGUAACCUCUGGCAGGAUCAACCGGA